rnacentral:rRNA from 1 species
UACGUAGGGGGCUAGCGUUGCUCGGAAUGACUGGGCGUAAAGGGCGCGUAGGCGGCUCAUACAGUCAGAUGUGAAAUUCCUGGGCUUAACCUGGGGGCUGCAUUUGAUACGUGUGGGCUUGAGUGCGGAAGAGGGUCGUGGAAUUCCCAGUGUAGAGGUGAAAUUCGUAGAUAUUCGCAAGAACACCAGUGGCGAAGGCGGCUCACUGGCCCGGUACUGACGCUGAGGUGCGAAAGCGUGGGGAGCAAACAGG